ACGGAAGGCAGCAGUGGGGAAUAUUGGGCAAUGGGCGCAAGCCUGACCCAGCGACGCCGCGUGAGGGAAGACGGUCUUCGGAUUGUAAACCUCUUUCAGCAGGGAAGAUAAUGACGGUACCUGCAGAAGAAGCCACGGCUAACUACGUGCCAGCAGCCGCGGUAAUACGUAGGUUGCAAGCGUUGUCCGGAUUUACUGGGUGUAAAGGGCGUGUAGGCGGAGCUGCAAGUCAGAUGUGACAUCCCGGGGCUCAACCCCGGAACUGCAUUUGAAACUGUAGCCCUUGAGUAUCGGAGAGGCAAGCGGAAUUCCUAGUGUAGCGGUGAAAUGCGUAGAUAUUAGGAGGAACACCAGUGGCGAAGGCGGCUUGCUGGACGACAACUGACGCUGAGGCGCGAAAGCGUGGGGAGCAAACAGGAUUAGAUACCCUGGUA
rnacentral:rRNA from 1 species